rnacentral:rRNA from 1 species
UUUUUCUGCCUGGAUCCACAGAACGAUCCUGACGAUGCAGUCUAUGUAAUUCUAAUGCGUGGUCUGUCGGUUCAGCACAUCCCGUCGAACUACUGGCAAAUCGCAAUGAGUAUGGAAGAAGCCUUAGGCUAAUGAAGUGUAAUAAAUGUGGAGAAGAGUUGUGUCCUGGUUGUGGCAUGCCAGGCUUCGAUAAGUUCUGUGACUUUUGUACUUACAAUCACUCCACUGGAUCUUCACCAGUUGAAUGGGACAUUGAGCCAGUAGUACAUAUUUGCGAAGGUAAUGACUGAUGGCAACCACACUAGAUACAAGAGGAAAGCAGGACUACGGUGAGCUGCAAGGACACGGGCAACUGGGACUGCGGUC